AUGGCCCAGAACACGAGCGUUUUCCUCGAAGCUCUGGACCGAUCAGAGACCACCAGAGACGGAGGAUUCAAGCACAGUUGGGGCUUUUCUCUUCCCGAUGACAGAGAAAAGGCAAAGAGACCCGAACCCGGCCCGGUGAGCGUGGAGGAGAUGGAGCAGCACCAGACCACCUGCCCAGAGGAGACGUCUCCUCCUUUUAGACGCUUUGGUUCUGGUCCUUCGAGGGUGUACGAGAACCGGUCCAACAGCCACAUCAGGCCUCUGAACAAGCUGCUUCCUAAGACGAUCAGCAGCAUCCACCUCACGCCCCCCGCCUCCUCCCCCAUGGUCUCCAGGAACGACUUCAUCAUCAUCAGUCCGAUCCGUCCUCCAGGAGUGCUGCUGCAGGGGAGACACUUCCAGCACACGCACGUCUCUGUCCCCGUGAAGAAAUCGGGCCAAAGAAACGACCUGUCGUCCACGCAGCCGGAAGCAGAGGUGGACAGCAUCGUCCUCACCUGUCCGGAGCUCCCAGGAGAAGGAACUCUGAACGUCAAACGUCGAAUCCAACAGAAGAGAAAACCGCUGGAGAACGUCUGCGUCUCUUCUCAGAUCGAAGCACCUCAGGUGGGCGAAGCUCAGGGGCCUCUACUCGAGGAUGACCCAUGUGGGUUUUCCUAUUUCCGACACGAUACCGAUGUGGAGACAUGGUCAGCAGAUACUUUGGCCGAUUUUCAUGGUUGAUACUCGGAUGUUUUCCACCUCAUGGUCAUGCUGAAAUGUCACUAACCGCGUCAGUUGAGGCACAAACCCUCUGAAGCUGUUUUUGAACCAGCAGUUGAAUCUCGUCCUCGGUGUUAAAAUCAGACGUCUGACUGAAGUUAUUCAUCACAUCAGUAAACUGACUAAGUAUUAAAUAUCCACAACUGUCAAUAACAAAACAUUCUGAUAAAGUACAUUUUUGAGCAGCUGGAACGUUAAUAUGUGUGAAAUCCUGCAGCAGCAUCGGGUUAGGACCGGCUGCCCCCAAAGCUGAGGUCAGAGUUCACCUGUUCUUUCCUUUGAAUAGAAAACAGGAAAGACUCUACAUCAGUUUGCUGCAAUGUCUGGUCGUGGCAUCCAUGUUCUCUCUCAUGCGAAGCGUCUCGGUUCUGGUUAGAACCCGCCAAAUCUUCAUGAGAACCUUUCUCCUCUGCUGCAGCUGCUCGUCUCCCACUCCGUUUGUCUGAAGUGCAACAAGCCGAGCGACGAUGUCAGCAGGUGUCAGGUCUGUGGGAGCGGUGAGUCUCUGCUGCCCUCCAACCAGACGGCGUCUCCGACCCCCAGACCCCCCAUCAGAACCCAGACCUGCUCCGGUCCAAACAGCCUCCAUCAGAACUUUUACACACCCAGCACCACCAGGGAGAUUCUACCGGUACGGGUCACUAGCACCAGAGGGACGGUUCUUCCUGUCAACUGUAGCAAGACCCCCCUUUUAGCAGGGAUCUCAACCCCAUGUGGGACCGGAACCAGUACCAGAACGGGGUCGGCCACAGGGAGGAGGAGGACGGCCCAGCAGCAUGAGCUCAACGACCCCAGUAAGUAGAACUCGGAGAACAUUCUGUAGGUCGGCCCAGGAUCUGCAGACUGGAGCUGGGGGGUCCAGAGGGUAAAAGUCAAAGACGUAGUUAAAACCAGAACUUGUCUGGGCCGUGGUGCUGGAACGAGUAAAUCUGUAAGUCUGCUGGGGUUCUGUCUGGUUGGGUUCGGGUCCGUGCCCAGAAGCUUAUGAGAGGAAUCUGAAAACCUUCCAGAACCUUGGGUUUGGCCCAGUCAGUUACUGGUUUAAGUCCAGUCAGACGACCUUAGCUUUUAUCUGAACCUGUGGAGACUAAGAUGGCUCACGUGUCUCCUUCAGUCGUUCUGUCCAGCGAUGACGAGGAGGCGGACAGCGCCAGCACAGGAAGUGUGAACAGGUUGGACAGCGUGUCCCCGCGACCAGCUGACUCUGCCCACUCGUCUCCAGCGCCCUCUGGAGGCCGGGUGGAGGCGGCGGUGAAAAGCACCGCCGAGCAGGAGGAGUUCAACACGGAUUUCCUGGACAACGUCAACAUGAAGAUCACGAUACCACGGAGAGCCCGGAUGAAGGACCAGGUAGGAUUAGCUAGGGGUGGUGGGGGUCUCCACGUCUGUUUUCUCCUGUAAACAUAAAAUCAUUUCCCUGCUGGUCACAUUUGGGCUUUUUGUGUGAUUUUUUUCCAGUUUGGGAAUCAGCCUCCUGCGCCGUUCUCGUCGAGGACCAAGAGACCCAAAAUCAUGUCCAGUAAGUGUGACAGCAUCAUCCUGGAGUGUCGAAGUGUCCGAAUAGGAACGCUGCGUCGGAUGGUGACGAAGCCCGUCAUCGUGAGUGUUUAGUUCGGUGUUGUUCUGUAAACAAAUAAACAAAAUCUUCCAGUUAAAAUAAUUAAACUCUUGUUUUUCCAGUUUUCUGUCGACCAGAUCCAGCUGGAGACGGAAGGUAAGAAGCAGCUGGGAGAAUUUCAGAGAAUGCUGGAAUGUUGUGGAAUGGUGUUGUCAUUCUUUUGGGAGACAGCUAAAGAAUUUCACGACCAGACUAGAGUCCCGGAAUCUGUUCCGGGCUCUGUCCCGGGAUCUGUUCCGGGAUCUCUUUAGUGAACAGAGGGAGAAGAUCAGGAGGAUCCUAAUCAGAACCACCCCAGCAUCUCUACUCUCAGCUACCACAACUCACUCACAACCUGUAGGGAACAUUUCACAUCUUCCUGGUCCAGAACCAGAACCUGGAAGUGCUGACUCAUCCUUGUUCUGACCCAGGACACGGGUCCAUAAAGACCACAGCCCAGAUCAGAGCUCAGGAACGUUGUUCCGAAAAAGUUUCAACGAACAGGAAAGAUUCCUUAAAUGGGUCCAAGCUUCCCUAAACUGCAUUAACCUUGGGGUGUCUAAGGCCUUUUUCCCAGGAAUGCUACUCGGAGCAGCUCGGCCCGACCGCUGUUCCCAAAAGCACGGUUCGGUACUCCCCCUCUACUUUCUCCCGUUUUUAGUCCCUGCUCCGUCCAGGUACCUGGCAAGGCCGAGUCGGGUGGCAUCGUUAUUCUGGUCGCUGAUUGGCUAGGGGGCGGAGUCACUGGUUGCUCCGGAGUUUGCGAUAAGGAUGCAUCAUGAAUUUAGGUCAACAUGAUAGACUUUUUCUCUGGACAAGAAAUAAUUACUGGUAAUAUCGUAGAUGAUGGGAAAUGAGCCGCCUAUAGAUUAAUUUAUAUUAUUUUACAUAAAUUAUAAAUGUAUAAUUAAAUGAAUGUGUCUGUGGGGCAUCUGAGGCAUCGAUCUGUAGCUCUCACCUGUGAUGGAUGGAUGGAUGAAUAAAGGAUGGAUGGAUGGAUGGAUGAAUAAAGGAUGGAUGGAUAGAUGGAUGGAUAAUGUGCCCUAACCCUGAGGGAGGCUUUUAGAUGUGUGCAUUUUACUGGUAAAUUACUUCCAAAUCAUCUGAAUGACAUCGUGAUGUUUUUUCCGUAUCGCCUGCCCCUAAUUGGCACCCAGCUCAUUUAAUAUUCAGGUUGUAGCCAGGUGGGCGGGGCUUAUGGUCCUGUAGGGCUUAUCCUUGGGUUGGGUUCGGGGCUCCUGUUUCACAUUAAAGAGCAGCUUCCCAUUGUGAAAGAACUUCAGGACCUGCUGGUGAGGUCCAGUUCUUUUGGUUCCAAUGAGUGAAGGAGAGUUUAUGGUCCUAAGCUGAGACCAUGUGGUCUGUUGGCUUUGAUCUGUGUUUUUGUGCCAUCAGGUCUGGAAAGAGGCAGCGUUGAGAAGGUUUGUCUUCGCGCGUCAGAACUGGUCAGCUGUGAGUGGUGCAGCGUCCGGAAACUACCCGUCUUGUUCUUCCAGACCAGCAUGGACGAGUGUGUCCGGCUGCGUUCACAGCUCAAAAUGUCCCAGGAGAACGGGGGCCAGUGGUUCGACUCCUCUGCUGAUGGUGAGUAAAACGCUCUCCCAGAGGAACCUCCAGACAGGACGCACACGCACUCUCUAGGUGUGAUGCUUUAUUUUUUACUUGGUUCAGAUUAGUUGGGCCACGUGAACAUGUAAAUCAUUUAUUAGUUCAAAGUAAAACUGUUGACAAAUGUCCUAAAAUAUGCUGCUGAAGGUUCUCGCUCAUCCAGGUCAUGGUAAUCCAAAAGGGUUCAGGUGAAGGCAACUGGACUUCUUUGGUUUCUUGAAGACGUUUCUCUUCUCAUCUGAGGAGCUUCGUCCAUUCUAACUGGAACAUGGGAGAGUCAAUCUUAUAAGUUGUAGCUGUCUGUUGUUGUUUAACGAGCAGAAACUACUCUGAGUACCCCUCCUCUCUACCUCCUGAUGAGUCGUUGGCCUCUACUGAGAGGGAGUGGUCGUGUUGGUUAGACACGGGAAGGUGUGACCUAGACUGAAGCUGCUUAGGAAUGAGAUUCAAAGCUGCAUUAUUGGUACUGGAAAGGUGAAAUCUAAGCCCCGCCCCUAUUUAAAGUGGGUUUUUCAAGUUUGACAUAGAUAGUUUCUUUUACUCCUCUCACACCAUCUGUCUUCUCUGUCCAGAAUGUGUCCUUGUGCUUCAGGUGCAGGUGGACUGCAGAGUCCUGACCUGAAGAGGUGGCUCUCCUGUGUUGUGCCAUGUUCUUGUGUAAUUGUUGUUUAGUUUCCCCGAUGUAAACAUCUGGACAGACCUCGCUACACUGGACUGCAUAAACGACGCCACUGAGCUUCUGUUUGGGUNUCUUUUACUCCUCUCACACCAUCUGUCUUCUCUGUCCAGAAUGUGUCCUUGUGCUUCAGGUGCAGGUGGACUGCAGAGUCCUGACCUGAAGAGGUGGCUCUCCUGUGUUGUGCCAUGUUCUUGUGUAAUUGUUGUUUAGUUUCCCCGAUGUAAACAUCUGGACAGACCUCGCUACACUGGACUGCAUAAACGACGCCACUGAGCUCCUGUUGGGGUGUUUCAUCUUCAGGAUGGACCAGGUUCUGUCUGAGGGUGUUGUUGGGUUAAAGUUUACUGGGAUGUUGUGUUUGGAGAAGAUUCUUCUAGGUUGCUCUGCGGCUCCUGCCACGUAUGGGAUGAUGGUGCCUUUGCACCUGCCGUCCUUUUCUUUGCUGGUUGCUGCUUUAGAUGCUUUUCCAGACUUCUUUGAAGAUUUCACCAAGGCCCGGUUAGGGUAUCUGCAGUUCAGGAGAGCUUUCUUCAUGUGUCUUCCUUCAAUCUUUGUGGGAACGUUCUCGGCCCGAUGGUGUAAAGUCCUGAUGACCGACAUCUUGUGCCCCAGUGGCUGAUGUGAGUCCAAAUGCAGAUAUUCAAUUCAAUUCAAGUUUAUUUAUAUAGCGCCAAAUCACGACAAGCGUCGUCUUAAGGCACUUCACAUAAAAAACAUUUCAAUUCAGGUCAGUUCAUUAAGCCAAUCAGAAAAAAUGUUUCCUAUAUAAGGAACCCAGCAAAUUGCAUCAAUCCUCAUACUAAGCAAGCAUUUAGCGACAGUGGAGAGGAAAACUCCCUUUUAACAGGAAGAAACCUCCAGAGGAUCCUGGCUCAGUAUAAGCAGCCAUCCUCCACGACUCACUGGGGAU
ensembl:lncRNA